CAGUAGCCGCGGUAAUACGGAGGGUGCAAGCGUUAUCCGGAUUUAUUGGGUUUAAAGGGUCCGUAGGCGGACUUAUAAGUCAGUGGUGAAAGCCUGUCGCUUAACGAUAGAACUGCCAUUGAUACUGUAAGUCUUGAGUAUAUUUGAGGUAGCUGGAAUAAGUAGUGUAGCGGUGAAAUGCAUAGAUAUUACUUAGAACACCAAUUGCGAAGGCAGGUUACCAAGAUAUAACUGACGCUGAGGGACGAAAGCGUGGGUAGCGAACAGGAUUAGAUACCCGGUAGUCCCUGUCUCUUAUACA
rnacentral:rRNA from 1 species